rnacentral:lncRNA from 1 species
GAAGGCACCGAGCCGGGAGGAGCUGGAAAACGCGCUGCGAGGAGGCGGCGGUGGCUUCAAGGACAUCCCGGGAACGUCGGCGGUCAGCCCCGGUUCCUCCAAGGAGUGCGCCCCGGACACCGAGAGCCCGUCGGGACCCGGCGAGGCGGAUUAUUGCCGCCGCAUCCUGGUGCGAGGUACGGCCCCGAGUCCCGGUUCCCCCCCCCCCGCACCCUCCCGGCCCCGCUCCCGGUGCUCCCGGUGCUCCCGGUGCGGCCCCGCCGCCGGCCGCCCCCGGCCCCCGGCCUCCCGGCCCCGCCGCCGCUGCCCCCGGCUCGGUUCCGCGCGGUGGGCACGGGGCCGCUCUCCCCGCUCCCUCCCGGAGCGGGGCUGGGGGCGCAGCACGGCUCUGCCCGGCCGGGCCGGGGGUGCAGCGGGGGUCCACGACCCCUGCCCGGCCGUGCCGCGCUCGGGGGACGCGCACGCAGCGGGAGAAGGGCGAGCGGAGCAGCUUCGCUUUUAAACCGGUGGCGCAGGAGAAAAGCGUCACGGAGCGGCGGCGAGUUAGGGGCUAUUUAUUUCUUUUUUUUUUUUUAUUAUUAUUUCUUUCCCCUCUUUAUAAUAUCACUCUCCCGGCUGGGGCUGGGGGGCUCGGCUCGGCUGGGCUCGGCUCUGUCCCGGUAACGGGCAGCGGGCGGCGAGCAGCGGGCAGCCGAGCAUCCCUCCCCGCCGCCGGCCCCGCGGCUCCCGUGGCCACCAGCGGCCGUGCUGGGGGCGAACCCCGAAAGUUUGGGGCUGGGGGCGGGCAGCGCUCGGUGGCCCCGGGCUCCGGGAUGCGUCCUCCCGGGCUGCGCGCAGCGAGACCCCGGAGCUCGGAGGCCGCUGGGCGAGCAGGGCCGGGGCCGCACGGGCUCUGCUCCGGUCCCUUCCCUGGUGCCUUCCCCGGUCCCUUCCCCGGUCCCUUUCCCGGUCCUUUCCCCAGCGCUCGUGGCACGGCGGCAGCCGGAGCCCCGAUCCCGGUACAGCCGCGUUUUUCUCCCGGGUUUAUCCCGGGUGUCCGCGGGUUCCCAGCCACGGGCCCGGCUCGGCACGGCUUGGCACGGCUCGGUACGGCUCGGCACGGCUCGGCACGGCUCGGUGCAGCUCGGGCAGCCGUGGCCCGGCGGAUGCUCGGCGGCGCUCGGCAGCCGUGCGCCGCGGAUGCGCCUCGGGAUGCGCCCGGGCUGCACGGAGCCGCGCUCGGGGCUCGCCGCGCAGCGAGGCCCUUCCCGCAUGUCGCGAUAGGAGCCUGUCGGGAGACCUCUCCCGGGGCAGCCCGCGCCCUCCCCGCAGGCUCCGGUCCCCCGGGUGGGUGCGGGUGGGAGCCCGGGGCUGGGGGCUGCGGGACCCCCCCCGGGUACCCCCGGUUGGUCGCCAAGGCUGGUGGGGGUCAGGCUGGGGUCAGGCCCGGCUCUGCCCGGGCUUGGCUGCGGUCCCGGCGGGGUCAGGCU